rnacentral:rRNA from 1 species
AUUGAACGCUGGCGGCAGGCCUAACACAUGCAAGUCGAGCGGAUGAAGAGAGCUUGCUCUCUGAUUUAGCGGCGGACGGGUGAGUAAUGCCUAGGAAUCUGCCUGGUAGUGGGGGAUAACGUUCCGAAAGGAACGCUAAUACCGCAUACGUCCUACGGGAGAAAGCAGGGGACCUUCGGGCCUUGCGCUAUCAGAUGAGCCUAGGUCGGAUUAGCUAGUUGGUGAGGUAAUGGCUCACCAAGGCGACGAUCCGUAACUGGUCUGAGAGGAUGAUCAGUCACACUGGAACUGAGACACGGUCCAGACUCCUACGGGAGGCAGCAGUGGGGAAUAUUGGACAAUGGGCGAAAGCCUGAUCCAGCCAUGCCGCGUGUGUGAAGAAGGUCUUCGGAUUGUAAAGCACUUUAAGUUGGGAGGAAGGGUUGUAGAUUAAUACUCUGCAAUUUUGACGUUACCAACAGAAUAAGCACCGGCUAACUUCGUGCCAGCAGCCGCCGUAACAC